GCCUUUGCGUCACUCGAAGGAGACGGUAUCCCAGAAGCCUUUGUUACUUAGAGGGAAACAAGAAAUGCUUUGUCAGGGAGGGGAAGGUGCUGACGAGGAGAAUUUGUUUGACCAAUCAAAAACUCCUAGAAAAGCCUGUUGGCCAACUUAUGGCCGAUUGUCUUCCAACAAUCUGAGAACGACUGUUGGCCGACCGAAUGCAAGGAAAAUUGAGGGAACCUAAUCUGAAUUUGAUUGUUUGUGAGAGUUAUGGGGCAAGCUCUCCGAGCCAAUCAGAGAGCAAACUGAAGCGAAACAAAGGUAGUCCAGGAUUGUAUUCGACACUUAAUUGAAAGUUGCUGCAACAUCAACUAGUAUACACACUGGGUAUUGAGACUUGCACUUGUACUUACAUGUAAAUUCUAAAAUUUACCUCAAGUUUUGUAGUCAUUAGUAAGAGAAAGCAACCAUGUAACACACCGUCAUCUGUUUCGGAUAUUGUUGCUAUAAUUUUAACAUGACAUAGUGAUAAUGCCCUAAGUAUUAUUAAAAUUAUUAUUAAGUAUUAUUAAAAUGAUCGGCCCUUGAUGGAAGGUUUAAAUUUUGUUAGUACUUAAUGUCACUUACUAUUACCAAUUUACAAUAACUGUACUUUGGAAGCAUGAAGAACAUAUGCACGGCAAUCAUGUAACAUACCUAAGCUAAUAUGUAUUACUGGUACACUCUUAACAUGAAAUACUAAUGCUGUAACUGUUGUUGUUGGAGGCAGGAUUAAUUCUUUGUUGGUAAUCAUCAUUACUGAAUUUACAAUAAACGUUCUUUGUGAGCAUAA